GGGUCGUUAGCUCAGUUGGUAGAGCAGUUGGCUUUUAACCAAUUGGUCGUAGGUUCGAAUCCCACACGACCNU
rnacentral:tRNA from 1 species